rfam:Daphnia pulex DAPPTscaffold_88_Cont4093, whole genome shotgun sequence.
GUCAGGAUGGCCGAGCGGUCUAAGGCGCCAGACUCAAGCCUAUAGCUUGCCGGGUUGUUCGGUUAUAUGGAAUUCUGGUCUUCAAUAGAAGGCGUGGGUUCAAAUCCCACUUCUGACA